UAGCUUGCUAGAAGAUGACGAGCGGCGGACGGGUGAGUAAUGCUUGGGAACAUGCCUUUAGGUGGGGGACAACCAUUGGAAACGAUGGCUAAUACCGCAUAAUGUCUACGGACCAAAGGGGGCUUCGGCUCUCGCCUUUAGAUUGGCCCAAGUGGGAUUAGCUAGUUGGUGAGGUAAUGGCUCACCAAGGCGACGAUCCCUAGCUGGUUUGAGAGGAUGAUCAGCCACACUGGAACUGAGACACGGUCCAGACUCCUACGGGAGGCAGCAGUGGGGAAUAUUGCACAAUGGGCGCAAGCCUGAUGCAGCCAUGCCGCGUGUGUGAAGAAGGCCUUCGGGUUGUAAAGCACUUUCAGUUGUGAGGAAAGGUUAGUAGUUAAUACCUGCUAGCUGUGACGUUAACAACAGAAGAAGCACCGGCUAACUCCGUGCCAGCAGCCGCGGUAAUACGGAGGGUGCGAGCGUUAAUCGGAAUUACUGGGCGUAAAGCGUACGCAGGCGGUUUGUUAAGCGAGAUGUGAAAGCCCCGGGCUCAACCUGGGAACUGCAUUUCGAACUGGCAAGCUAGAGUGUGAUAGAGGGUGGUAGAAUUUCAGGUGUAGCGGUG
rnacentral:rRNA from 1 species